rnacentral:rRNA from 1 species
GUGCCAGCAGCCGCGGUAAUACGUAGGUGGCAAGCGUUGUCCGGAUUUAUUGGGCGUAAAGCGAGCGCAGGCGGUUUCUUAAGUCUGAUGUGAAAGCCUUCGGCUCAACCGAAGAAGUGCAUCGGAAACUGGGAAACUUGAGUGCAGAAGAGGACAGUGGAACUCCAUGUGUAGCGGUGAAAUGCGUAGAUAUAUGGAAGAACACCAGUGGCGAAGGCGGCUGUCUGGUCUGUAACUGACGCUGAGGCUCGAAAGCAUGGGUAGCAAACAGGAUUAGAUACCCUGGUAGUCCAUGCCGUAAACGAUGAGUGCUAGGUGUUGGAGGGUUUCCGCCCUUCAGUGCCGCAGCUAACGCAUUAAGCACUCCGCCUGGGGAGUACGACCGCAAGGUUGAAACUCAAAGGAAUUGACGGGGGCCCGCACAAGCGGUGGAGCAUGUGGUUUAAUUCGAAGCAACGCGAAGAACCUUACCAGGUCUUGACAUCCUUUGACCACUCUAGAGAUAGAGCUUUCCCUUCGGGGACAAAGUGACAGGUGGUGCAUGGUUGUCGUCAGCUCGUGUCGUGAGAUGUUGGGUUAAGUCCCGCAACGAGCGCAACCCUUAUUACUAGUUGCCAGCAUUAGGUUGGGCACUCUAGUGAGACUGCCGGUGACAAACCGGAGGAAGGUGGGGACGACGUCAAAUCAUCAUGCCCCUUAUGACCUGGGCUACACACGUGCUACAAUGGAUGGUACAACGAGUUGCGAGACCGCGAGGUUUAGCUAAUCUCUUAAAACCAUUCUCAGUUCGGAUUGUAGGCUGCAACUCGCCUACAUGAAGCCGGAAUCGCUAGUAAUCGCGGAUCAGCAUGCCGCGGUGAAUACGUUCCCGGGCCUUGUACACACCGCCCGU